CUGAGUAAGCAGAUCCAACUGCAGGCUUUCAUAGAGUUGUGGUUGAAGGAAAAAGUUGAUGUCUAACUUCAAGACUUGCAUGAAGGAGAAGUGAAUAAUAAAUCUGGUGGUGAAAUGCUAGAAGAUAAAGAGGCAUUUCAUUUCUCUGUGUAUGCAUUUGCCAGGAGCGACUUUUUAGGCUUAAUAUCUGAAGAUGUGUCUCAGAAAUUGACUUUGUGCAGAGUUUCAAGUGGAAGAUGUCCAUGUGUUUUCAGACCUGGGAAUAAUUAUGGAUGAUGAUGUAAGCAUAAGAAAGGUGACAAGUACAAAUGAACAAAAGGCAAAAGAAAACCAUUAAAAAGGACAGCAGCAACAAAUGUUGGAGAGGCUGUGGAGACAGAGGAAUCCUUCUGCACUGCUGGUGGGAAUGUAAAUUGGUACAGCCUCUGUGGAGAGCAGUCUGGAGAACUCUCACAAGGCUAGACAUAGACCUUCCAUAUGACCCAGUAAUUCCUCUCCUGGGGAUCUACCCCAAGGAUUCCAUAAUGCCCAAUCAAAAAGAUAUGUGUACACCUAUGUUCAUAGCAGCACAAUUCAUAAUAAAUAAAACCUGGAAGGAACCCAGGUGCCCAACAACAGAUGAGUGGCUGAGAAAGCUGUGGUAUAUAUACACAAUGGAAUACUAGGUAGCUAUUAAGAACAAUGAACCCACCAUAUCUGACCCAUCUUGGUCAGAGCUAGAAGGAAUUAUGUUACUUGUGUUAAGUCAGAAAGACAAAGAUGAGUAUGGGAUGAUCCCACUCAUCAACAGAAGUUGAGAAAGAAGAACAGAAAGGGAAACUAAAACAAGAUCUGAUUAAAUUGAGAGUAGGGCAACAAAGUAAAAACACUGUGGU